rnacentral:rRNA from 1 species
AUGAACGCUAGCUACAGGCUUAACACAUGCAAGUCGAGGGGCAGCGGGAUUGAAGCUUGCUUCAAUUGCCGGCGACCGGCGCACGGGUGAGUAACGCGUAUCCAACCUUCCGCUUACUCGGGGAUAGCCUUUCGAAAGAAAGAUUAAUACCCGAUGGUAUCUUAAGCACGCAUGAGAUUAAGAUUAAAGAUUUAUCGGUAAGCGAUGGGGAUGCGUUCCAUUAGGCAGUUGGCGGGGUAACGGCCCACCAAACCUACGAUGGAUAGGGGUUCUGAGAGGAAGGUCCCCCACAUUGGAACUGAGACACGGUCCAAACUCCUACGGGAGGCAGCAGUGAGGAAUAUUGGUCAAUGGGCGAGAGCCUGAACCAGCCAAGUAGCGUGAAGGAUGACGGCCCUACGGGUUGUAAACUUCUUUUGUGCGGGAAUAAAGGAACCUACGUGUAGGUUUUUGCAUGUACCGUAACGAAUAAGCAUCGGCUAACUCCGUGCCAGCAGCCGCGGUAAUACGGAGGAUGCGAGCGUUAUCCGGAUUUAUUGGGUUUAAAGGGAGCGUAGACGGGUUUUUAAGUCAGCUGUGAAAGUUUGGGGCUCAACCUUAAAAUUGCAGUUGAAACUGGAGACCUUGAGUACGGUUGAGGCAGGCGGAAUUCGUGGUGUAGCGGUGAAAUGCUUAGAUAUCACGAAGAACCCCGAUUGCGAAGGCAGCCUGCUAAGCCGCCACUGACGUUGAGGCUCGAAAGUGCGGGUAUCAAACAGGAUUAGAUACCCUGGUAGUCCGCACGGUAAACGAUGGAUACUCGCUGUUGGCGAUAGACAGUCAGCGGCCAAGCGAAAGCGUUAAGUAUCCCACCUGGGGAGUACGCCGGCAACGGUGAAACUCAAAGGAAUUGACGGGGACCCGCACAAGCGGUGGAGCAUGUGGUUUAAUUCGAAGCAACGCGAAGAACCUUACCUGGUCUUGACAUCCUUCUGACCGGUCCUUAACCGGACCUUUCCUUCGGGACAGGAGUGACAGGUGGUGCAUGGUUGUCGUCAGCUCGUGCCGUGAGGUGUCGGCUUAAGUGCCAUAACGAGCGCAACCCUUGUUGUCAGUUACUAACAGGUUCCGCUGAGGACUCUGACAAGACUGCCAUCGUAAGAUGUGAGGAAGGUGGGGAUGACGUCAAAUCAGCACGGCCCUUACGUCCGGGGCUACACACGUGUUACAAUGGGGAGUACAGAGGGCAGCUACCGGGCGACCGGAUGCGAAUCCCGAAAGCUCCUCUCAGUUCGGACUGGAGUCUGCAACCCGACUCCACGAAGCUGGAUUCGCUAGUAAUCGCGCAUCAGCCACGGCGCGGUGAAUACGUUCCCGGGCCUUGUACACACCGCCCGUCAAGCCAUGAAAGCCGGGGGUACCUGAAGUACGUAACCGCGAGGAUCGUCCUAGGGUAAAACCGGUAAUUGGGGCU